rnacentral:tRNA from 1 species
AGGAAUGUGGCUCAGUUGGUAGAGCACUUGCCUAGCAUGCACAAAACCCUAGGUUCGAUUCCAAGCACUACAA